rnacentral:rRNA from 1 species
AUUGAACGCUGGCGGCAUGCCUUACACAUGCAAGUCGAACGGCAGCGGACCUUCGGGUGCCGGCGAGUGGCGAACGGGUGAGUAAUAUAUCGGAACGUACCUUUCAGUGGGGGAUAACGUAGCGAAAGUUACGCUAAUACCGCAUAUUCUGUGAGCAGGAAAGCAGGGGAUCGCAAGACCUUGCGCUGAUUGAGCGGCCGAUAUCAGAUUAGCUAGUUGUGAGGUAAAGGCUCACCAAGGCGACGAUCUGUAGCGGGUCUGAGAGGAUGAUCCGCCACACUGGAACUGAGACACGGUCCAGACUCCUACGGGAGGCAGCAGUGGGGAAUUUUGGACAAUGGGCGCAAGCCUGAUCCAGCCAUGCCGCGUGAGUGAAGAAGGCC